UGUAGGAUUUGUGAUCUGGAAUUUGGCUCUUCUAACCACCUAUCUGAGAUCUCCUUUUCCUAGUUGCAGUUCAUCUAGAUCAGGAGUAAGAUCAAUGUCCUUUGCUCUUAUCAAAGGUAGCAGGACUGGGUUUGCAAUAUCAAGAUAAUCUUAUCGACCUUGCUAUGUUGUUUAUAGGCAUUGGGGGAGUUAGCUGUGAGAUUUGAAGCACAAGACAGAGCACUUGAAGAGAUGCAAAGGAAGCAUCAAGAAGAAUUGGAAGCGGUGAAGAAGAGCCAACAAAAGAAGAAUGAAGCAUGUGAAAAGAAGCAACACAUGAUACAGUUAACCUGAUUGGUUUUCUAUUGAGGGCUCAAGCAACUCAGCAAGAUUCCAUUGUCUUGUGUAUUGUCGUGUCAAACUUGAUUCGGUGUUAUUUUUUAUUGUCAUUUCUAUUUAGAGGAUGAUUUGCCUAAGAGAUUGAAUAUAUGAUAUGAUUUGUCUUUCGUUUCAUAAUGUGAUUUGGCUCACAGUUUAUUUAUAUAAUGUGAUGUGAUGUGAAUUAAAUACUUACUAUUGAAAUGCAUUUGCAAUAUAGUGGAUCUGAUAAUUCAUAGCAAGUUAUUCAAAAUAUAGUAAAUGUAUUUUGAUGAUGUCAUCUUCAUCAAUAAUGAAAGUAGUGAUGCUCGUAGUGGGGUAAUCUGUGCGGGUGUUGAUGUGGCAUAAAGUCAGUAACGUUUGCUCCAUCAUUGAAUAUUGUACAACAUGGCAUCUUUGCUCCUAACUUGUGACAUCACUCCACCGUCAUAGAAAUAGCAAGCUGUUGACGUUCUAUAAAACGUCACCGAAGGUCCCAUUUUCAGUGACACUGUUUUGCGCGCGCCGUCACGAGAAGUAAUCUGUGACGGGGAUUCCGUGACGAUGCUCGUGACGCCCAUAAAACGUCACUCAGGUGUAAUUUGUGACGUUAUUAGCAGGUCGAUGACCUUUUUUGGCUCGUCAUAGUAGGCCUAAUCUCUUGUAGUGUACGCACAAAAUAAUGAUUCCUCCACCUGACAUCUGGGACCCACCAGAAGGGCCUCUGUAUUUCGCGAAAA